rnacentral:rRNA from 1 species
AUUCCAGCUCCAAUAGCGUAUAUUAAAGUUGUUGCAGUUAAAAAGCUCGUAGUUGAACUUCUGGCGGUUGGUGUUGCUGGCUUCGGUCGCUUCAUUGGCAGUCAUCCGCUUGGGAACCCCGUUCGGUCUUCAUUGGUCGGCGGGAGGAUCAGGCAUUUUACUUUGAAAAAAUUAGAGUGUUCAAGGCAGGCAAUCGCCAUGAAUACACAAGCAUGGAAUAAUGGAAUAGGACUGAUAGUCAUUUUAUUGGUUAUUGACUGUUAGUAAUGAUUAAUAGGGACAGUUGGGGGCAUUCGUAUUUAAUUGUCAGAGGUGAAAUUCUUGGAUUUAUUAAAGACGAACUUAUGCGAAAGCAUUUACCAAGGAUGUUUUCAUUA